rfam:Myotis brandtii contig219529, whole genome shotgun sequence.
AUAUUCACCUGGCAGGGGAGAUACCAUGAUCACGAAGGUGGUUUUUCCAGGGUGAGGCAUUGCACUCUGGAUGUGCUGACGCCUGCAAUUUCCCCAAAUGUGGGAAAAUCAACUGCAUAAGUUGUGGUAGUGGGGGGUCG